UACAGAGGCCCCAAGCGUUACUGAGAAUCACUGGGUUUAAAGGGUGCGUAGGUGGCGCGUUAAGUUCGUUGUGAAAUCCCUGGGCUCAACCCAGGAAUUGCUUCGAAUACUGGCGUGCUUGAGGCUAGUAGGGGUCACCGGAACAAACGGUGGAGCGGUGAAAUGCGUAGAUAUCGUUUGGAACGCCGAUGGUGAAAACAGGUCGCUGGGGACAUGCUGACGCUGAGACACGAAAGCCAGGGGAGCGAACGGG
rnacentral:rRNA from 1 species